AAUGCUACCUGGGGCUGGAGAGAACCUUAAAAAGUUAAUCGUGUGUCGCUCACACUCCCUGCCGGGUUUGCAGCAUGUACCUGUCUGUUUGCUAUGAGUGAAAACACAAAUUGUUCAACAAUGGAAAUAUUUGGAUCAACUAACAACUGACCAAUGGCAUAACAAGUUUUCUUUCAGGUCAGGGCUGGAAAAAAUGUCCCCAUCACGGUAGCAGUGCAGGGUUGUUCCUUUUGGCUUCAUCGUCAUGGUGAUAGGAGAAGUGACUCUUCUGGCUGUGGCCUCCCAUUGUAGGUGAGCAGCUGCUGCACUGGAUAUUGGGAGUAAGAAGAGAAAUCUUCUUAAUUUCUCAGAAGAGGCCAGACUCAGGCAUCAGACAAAGCAAAAACCGUGAUACAGAUAAGCUUCAGAUAAGAAGACAUUUUGGCUUGUAGAGACUCAGAUUAUGUGGGGAGGGGAAUCUGUUUUCCUUACAUACAUUAGCUUCACUUUGGCUGAGUAUAGAGUUGUAAGCACACAAGACAGCAGGAUACUGUAGAGUUAAUGAAGAAACAUUAAUUAAACAUUUAUUACAUAAGAUAUUCCAUUUGCUGCUACUCUAGCACUAUUAUUAUGAAUACAUAUAAUGCUUUCAAUAAAAGUAUUCAAAGCAGUCUACAUAGAAAAAUAUAUAAUAAGAUGGUAUAUAAUGAAUAAAUAAGAUUAUAAUAAAUAAAUAAGAUGAUUACCUAUCCUAAAAGGGCUCACAGUCAGAGAUGCACCUAGGUAAUUUUGGAGCCUGGACCUAAAGGCCUUUGGAGGCCUC